ACAAGGGUGAUGACGAACUUCGGCAUUGUUAGUAGAGGUUGUUUACACUCUGUCCUUAUACAUAUAUCUUCGAACGACAAUAAAGUUUUCAAAAGAAAAUUGAGUAUUCCCCUUCUCUUCUUGCCGUUGUGCUUUUGCCUUGCUUUUGUAAGUUAAUUGUUAGGAAUAAAGUAUUAUUUCACCAAAUAACUAAAUUUUACUAAUUUUUCUAACAGUGUUGAAGAAUGAAGUGCCUCUGAUAACAAAUCAUUAAUCGAUGAAUUCAGAAGAUGAAGAAGAAUAUUCUAAAGAGGAACCCAUUUGAGAAGGAAAAAAUUGAUGUUGAAUUUUCUGUUCGUCUUUGAUAAAUUAAAACGUAUUCUAUUUAGCAGUCUUCAAUAAGAAGUCGACAGAGUAAGGACUCAAUAAAAUACCGAAGCAUGACUCGAAAUUGACCUGAAAUCUUCAAAAGCUGAGUUCACCAAAGUGAGUUAAACAACACAUGUUUCCUGUCGUUCUUAUUUCGUGAGUUUUACAUAUUUCUCCGGAGGAGUUUAUUUCGUAAGUAAAUAUACAACAUUGAAAUAUACAUAAUU